AGAUUUCAUUGGAUUUGUUCCUUUUCUUGGUGUCGCUGUCGGUCAUUAGGGCUUUAUCGUGAUGGGGUCUUGCUCGAUAUGGGUGAUUGUGUUGAAUUCUACGCGAAGUAGAACGCGGAGGCGGGGACGUUUGCUUCGAUGAGGGCAAGAUUUUGAGGUAUCAUCACAUUUUGCCUCUAAAUUUCCGAGUGUCUGAUCUUGACGUAAACGUUCCUUCUCGUCUCUCUGGUGUUGAUUUCCUCCCGGUGGCAGUGAUUGCUAGUAGCAAGAACAAAACGAAGCCCCAAGAGGUGAUUCCUCGCUGGUUCGGCCUGAAACAUUAGCUAAUGCAACCCUAGAAAUCUGAACGAUUCAGAUGCCGAACCGGACCAUUCAAAGAAUUAGAAAGUAAAAUAGAAGUCUUACAAUGAAUGGCCUGACAUAUAGUCGAUUAUUUAGCUGCCAGGCAUCGGAAUGCUAAUAAUCAUCACACCGAUCCUUUGCAAAACCUAAAUCUUUGGUAUAGAUCCAAACCUGGUUCAUGGACUGACCACUCCCGGAUAUAACCCAUUGCUCGAGUGAAAAUUCUGAUUUCAUCCACAUAAACCAUCGGAUAGAUUUCAGCUACCUUCAUGCCAUAGAGACCAAUGUCAGGAAUAUCUUAGAAUGAGAUCACAACUCUAAUAGUGGCGCCGGUGUAGUGCCCCACGUCAUGUAAUGGUUUUAGUCUUAUUUUGUGUGAUCGUAUUGCUUUCAGAUGAUUUAUUUUGGUGAAUCAUUGAGCUAUCAUUUAUUGUUAAAAAUCAUGCCAUAUUGUGAAUGCCUAUUUGACUCAUUAAAUUAGCAUGUAUCACCUUCUUUUAUCGAGAUAUCAUAUUCAUGAUAUUUUCUUAUGAUUCUAUACAUCACAUAUAGUCAUGAUCAUGAAAAAUGAGAACAAAAUCUUAAAAAGAAUGUAUUCUAACUGAAUUAAUUACAUGUAUUGGAUGAACUAACACUGCUAAUGUUAUGAUAUGAGUGCUGCAUUUAUCCAAGAGAAAACCUUUAUGGAUCCCGUAUCUGAUUUGGCGACUCUUUCCUUUUACAAGAGUCUGGACAUAAUCUAACAUGCUGAAUGAGUAUUCGGAUAGUUUCUGGAGGUAUAGAAUCAUACUUGGUGUCUUGAAAGGUUUUUACAGAGAGGAGUAGAUGUGGCAGAGCCUUCAGGAAAAAAACAUGCUUAACAUGCUUCUGCAUUAGAAUCGGAUGUUGCAUAUGCUAAUGCCUGGCUAACUCUUCUAUGCUUGGAAGGUUUUAUGGAACUAUUGGUACAUGGCUUCCGUCGGCUUAGAUCUUAUUGUAGUUUGUGAAGUUGUGAACAUAUGCCAGAAAUUGAUAACGUAAUUGCCAUCGUAGUUUGCAAGAAUACUUGUUUAGAUCUCUUACUUAUGCUAUCGUAGAAUGUCAUAAAAAAUGUAAUUGCUAGAACUUGAUUUCUUGUGCGUCUAGAGCAAAAAGUGGAUCUCCUUGUGCGUUUCUUUGUGCACAUAGUAUAGUGGCAGCAUGAGCUACUUCAAUUCUUCAGCUUAGUUGCAAGUUGUGUUAUGUUUUGCUCGAACUAUUUUGUUCUUGCUAAUGUCUAGUUUACAUUUAUUAGCUCCACCAUUGUUCUUGCUAAUGUUUGGAUUUCUUUUUUGGAUUCGAAUUUAUUUUCUUCUUCGGGUUUUGGAACUUGCUCUGUUGCUCAGGUUAUGACAUUUUUAAAGAGUUUCAUCUAGAAAAAUUGAUCUGUGAUUCUUGAUAUCAGUGAAAUGUCCUUGAACAAGACACUAGUAAAGAGAAAAUAGCUAGCUAACUUGCAGUUUUUCUUAUUCAUAAUCUCUUGCUAAAAGAUUUCAGUAUUAGAAUAUGACCGAUUAUUUUGAGAAGUCUCUGGUGUGUCGUGAGAAUUCCGUGAGGUCUUCUUCAUCCUUUUUCUUGCCUUGGAUCUUUAUUCUCUUUAUAUGUUGGGGUUAUACGCAUUGUGUCAUGCGAUGAUGCCGGACGUCUGAGUGUUACGUCUGGAGCGCACUCGCACAUGGACCUGCAAGAUUACCAGCUGAUUUAAAGCAAAUAAGUGCGACAUUUGAAGCUGUAGGAAAGAGUCGAGCUGCAAAUAUUAUAACCUUGGGGAGGAAUGUUACUGCGGGGUUGGACGGAGACCCAGCCAUCGGUCUCGAUAGGUGUAGAUGAUGGCGAUGGUUGCAGGCGUCUUUCAAGAAUGACCUCAACUUCAGGAUAUUACUAGUCAAAAGUUGAGGCGGAAUCGAAGUAGGAGACCCUCUGGUUCUGUUCACUCUUCCAUGAACUGCAAGGGACUUAAUUCUUGGUUGAAGAGCCACGGAGACGCACUUGGCGUCGUUCGCGAGAACGAUGCCAUCUAAGCCGUGCGACCACCUCUUGUGAUAUCCGCAACGGGGUCGCGGUUCCGUGGAAGCGUCUAAACAUCAGAAUCAAACAGAACAUGGUAGAACGAACAUACUUUUCCUACUCGGUCACGGC
rnacentral:lncRNA from 1 species